rnacentral:rRNA from 1 species
CCUACGGGUCGCUGCAGUGAGGAAUAUUGGUCAAUGGACGAGAGUCUGAACCAGCCAAGUAGCGUGAAGGAUGACUGCCCUAUGGGUUGUAAACUUCUUUUAUAUGGGAAUAAAAUGUUUCACGUGUGGGAUUUUGUAUGUACCAUAUGAAUAAGGAUCGGCUAACUCCGUGCCAGCAGCCGCGGUAAUACGGAGGAUCCGAGCGUUAUCCGGAUUUAUUGGGUUUAAAGGGAGCGUAGGUGGAUUGUUAAGUCAGUUGUGAAAGUUUGCGGCUCAACCGUAAAAUUGCAGUUGAAACUGGCAGUCUGGAGUACAGUAGAGGUAGGCGGAAUUCGUGGUGUAGCGGUGAAAUGCUUAGAUAUCACGAAGAACUCCGAUUGCGAAGGCAGCUCACUGGACUGCAACUGACACUGAGGCUCGAAAGUGUGGGUAUCAAACAGGAUUAGAUACCCCGGUAGUC